rnacentral:rRNA from 1 species
GAUGAACGCUGGCGGCGUGCUUAACACAUGCAAGUCGAACGAUGAAGCCCAGCUUGCUGGGUGUAUUAGUGGCGAACGGGUGAGUAACACGUGAGUAACCUGCCCUUGACUCUUGGGUAAGCCUGGGAAACUGGGUCUAAUACUGGAUAUGACUUCUCAUCGCAUGGUGGGGGGUGGAAAGAUUUAUUGGUCUUGGAUGGACUCGCGGCCUAUCAGCUUGUUGGUGAGGUAAUGGCUCACCAAGGCGACGACGGGUAGCCGGCCUGAGAGGGUGACCGGCGACACGGGGACUGAGACACGGCCCAGACUCCUACGGGAGGCAGCAGUGGGGAAUAUUGCACAAUGGGCGCAAGCCUGAUGCAGAGGCGCCGCGUGAGGGAUGACGGCCUGCGGGUUGUAAACCUCUUUCAGUAGGGAAGAAGCGAGAGUGACGGUACCUGCAGAAGAAGCGCCGGCUAACUACGUG